rnacentral:rRNA from 1 species
GACGAACGCUGGCGGCGUGCUUAACACAUGCAAGUCGAACGGUGAAGGGAUCAGCUUGCUGGUUCUGGAUGAGUGGCGAACGGGUGAGUAACACGUGAGUAACCUGCCCCCUUCUUCUGGAUAACCGCAUGAAAGUGUGGCUAAUACGGGAUAUUCUGGGUCUGUCGCAUGAUGGGUCUGGGAAAGAUAUUGUUUCGGUGGGGGAUGGGCUCGCGGCCUAUCAGCUUGUUGGUGGGGUGAUGGCCUACCAAGGCGGUGACGGGUAGCCGGCCUGAGAGGGUGGACGGUCACACUGGGACUGAGACACGGCCCAGACUCCUACGGGAGGCAGCAGUGGGGAAUAUUGCACAAUGGGCGCAAGCCUGAUGCAGCGACGCCGCGUGAGGGAUGGAGGCCUUCGGGUUGUAAGCCUCUUUCGCCAGUGAAGCAGGCCUGCUCCUUGUGGGUGGGUUGACGGUAGCUGGAUAAGAAGCGCCGGCUAACUACGUG